rnacentral:rRNA from 1 species
CCUUUCACCAAUACCAUAACUGUAGCUUCGGAAUAAGUCUUAAAAUUAGAUAGUGUGCUCAGAAGCUAAGCAGGGUCGGGCCUGGUUAGUACUUAGAUGGGAGACCACCUAGGAAUACCAGGUGCUGUAGGCG